rnacentral:rRNA from 1 species
CCUACGCGCUGCAGCAGUGGGGAAUAUUGGACAAUGGGCGAAAGCCUGAUCCAGCCAUGCCGCGUGUGUGAAGAAGGCCUUCGGGUUGUAAAGCACUUUCAGUGGGGAAGAAAGCCUUGGGGCUAAUACCCUCGAGGAAGGACAUCACCCACAGAAGAAGCACCGGCUAACUCCGUGCCAGCAGCCGCGGUAAUACGGAGGGUGCGAGCGUUAAUCGGAAUUACUGGGCGUAAAGCGCGCGUAGGCGGUCUGAUAAGCCGGUUGUGAAAGCCCCGGGCUCAACCUGGGAACGGCAUCCGGAACUGUCAGGCUAGAGUGCAGGAGAGGAAGGUAGAAUUCCCGGUGUAGCGGUGAAAUGCGUAGAGAUCGGGAGGAAUACCAGUGGCGAAGGCGGCCUUCUGGACUGACACUGACGCUGAGGUGCGAAAGCGUGGGUAGCAAACAGGAUUAGAUACCCCAGUGUC